rnacentral:rRNA from 1 species
GACGAACGCUGGCGGCGUGCUUAACACAUGCAAGUCGAACGGGAUUUAGUAAACGGAAGCCUCGGUGGAAGAUUACUAAUGAGAGUGGCGAACGGGUGAGUAACGCGUGAGCAACCUGCCUAUGACAGUGGGAUAGCCUCGGGAAACCGGGAUUAAUACCGCAUAAAAUCGUAGAAACACAUGUUUCAACGGUCGAAGAUUUAUCGGUCAUAGAUGGGCUCGCGUCUGAUUAGCUAGUUGGUGAGAUAACAGCCCACCAAGGCGACGAUCAGUAGCCGGUCUGAGAGGAUGAACGGCCACAUUGGAACUGAGACACGGUCCAAACUCCUACGGGAGGCAGCAGUGGGGAAUAUUGCACAAUGGGGGAAACCCUGAUGCAGCGACGCCGCGUGAACGAAGAAGGUAUUCGUAUCGUAAAGUUCUGUCCUAUGGGAAGAUAAUGACAGUACCAUAGAAGAAAGCUCCGGCUAAAUACGUG